AACGAACGCUGGCGGCAUGCCUAACACAUGCAAGUCGCACGAAGCCUUCGGGCUUAGUGGCGCACGGGUGCGUAACGCGUGGGAAUCUGCCCUUGGGUCCGGCAUAACCGUUAGAAAUGACUGCUAAUACCGGAUGAUGUCUUCGGACCAAAGAUUUAUCGCCCAAGGAUGAGGCCGCGUAGGAUUAGGUAGUUGGUGGGGGAAUGGCCCACCAAGCCGACGAUCCUUAGCUGGUCCGAGAGGAUGCUCAGCCACACUGGGACUGGGACACGGCGCAGACUCCUGCGGGAGGCAUCAGUGGGGAAUAUGGGACAGUGGGCGAAAGCCUGGUCCAGUAAUGCCGCGGGAGUGAUGAAGGCCUUAGGGUUGUAAAGCUCUUUUACCAGGGAUGAUAAUGACAGUACCUGGAGAAUAAGCCCGGGCUAACUACGUGCCAGCAGCCGCCGUAAGAC
rnacentral:rRNA from 1 species